rnacentral:lncRNA from 1 species
AUACCAUCACUCUUGCCCUUGAAGGCCUCUUAGGUGUAGUUUUCACCAUUGCUACUUUGACAGACGAGGCUCUAGAUGCUGGUGAGGUAAGACCAUAAGAAAGAAAGAAUUAUUUAGAAGAAUUUGGGAAGGUAAAUUUAAUAAAUGUUUUUUUGCCUUUAAGCUUGAAUCACCAAGAUGUGAAGUGGAUCGUCUGGUAUGUAGUGGACAAUCAGCUCUUCUUUGUGUCGCCAUGGUCAAUUCAACAUGGUUAACCAUCCUGGACUCCCUUUCACUUAUUUUAAUGAGGUGAGGUCCAUAUUCAAACUUACAUUUUUCUUUUACUUGAGGUUGUUUUCUCGUUUUCCUAUGCUUUGCUCAUGGGAAUCAAAUUAAUAGGUCACAGGGAGAAGCUAUAAUAUUAGAAAUACUGAAAGGAUACCAGGCAUUUACUCAGGUGACCAUAAUAGUCUGUUUGUUUUACCUAUUGCUUUGGAGAAAAACCCUGUUUUAGUGCUCUUAUAGCAUGACACCCACUUGCUAUGGCUUUUAAAUGGGAUGCUGAUGUUUGUUGUUUGUAUUUUAUCCUUUCUAGCCCCACUGUCUGUUGUAGUCCUUUCUACAGAAUUAUACCAAUUACCUUUUCUUCACCAUGAUAAUAUGGCACACGAACUCUUGCAGGCCUGUGGAGUGCUCCGUGCUAUAGAGCCAUUAAACUCUUUUCUAGCAUCGCUUUGCAAGUUUACAAUCAAUAACCCAAAUGAAGGAGAGAAGAGAAGGUAUGCCACUGGCAUCUUGUUUGUUAGAAUAAUACCGCACUUCUCUACGGGGAGCUUGCAUUUUGAAUACAUGAUGUCUUUUUCAGUAUAACGGGCUUAGUUACUAUAUAGGCAUGUCUAAGUGAUUGUGGUUUGUGGUCAUAAUACUUGUUCACCUGAUGGGUUCCAACCAUGUCACCUGCUGAUCAUUAACUUCAGGGUCUAUAUAAAGUAUAUAAAAGGAGUUUCCUUUCUUUGGGUUUGCCCCUAAACCCAAUGUUGCUUGUUCUAUUUUGACUUGCUCCCUUGCCAUGAGCGAAUGGGAAUGGAUCAGAGGCUGGUGGGAUUGACAUGAUACGGUAGGAUUCACUAUACAGCUGCUGAUGAGCUCCAGGCCAAUAAUCUGAAGCACAUGGAAUUUUAUCCUAGGAAGGAAAAACAAUUCCAAAUCUGUUUUGUCUAUGAAUCUCAUGGAGUUAGAUCCUGCCUUUGGAUGAAUGUUGCAAUGUACAUAUUGGUGAUUGCUGAUUAUGUUAAUGUGUCAAUUGAAAUCUAAACUUUGCCAUUUAAGUGUUGGGCCAGCACAUUUAUUAGCAUUUUAAUAUUUAUGUGAUAAAUUUGUUUACACUAGUGCUUGAGCUGUCUAUAAAACAAAGCCAUAAAGUUUUGCAUUAACCUUGUGCGCUUCUUCUCUUCUUAUACCUGUUAGUAGUAUCUUGCUCUCUCCUGGAUCGAAGAAGCCAGAAACUUCAAUGGAUCAGCGUGAUAGUAUUAUUUUGACACCGAAAAAUGUGCAGGUAACGGGCGAGAUUUUCAGUUAUGUUGUUUCCAUUGCCUGCUCAAUUUGUAUUACAUAUCUAUAGUUGGUAUUUUUUAAUCCAGGCAUUGCGGACACUUUUUAAUGUGGCACAUCGAUUACACAAUAUCCUGGGCCCCUCCUGGGUUUUGGUAAGUAGAGAAUAAGAUUAACUAGCUUUAAUUACUGUGAUAUUAUAUAUCUAAUUCUUUAGAACUUUUAAGGUCCUGGAGACUCUUGCAGCACUUGAUAGAACUAUUCAUUCUCCGCAUGCUUCAACCCAGGUUGCACAGUGUGAAGUUUCUUAAAUUCUUGUACUAUCAACGUUCUCAUAGGUCUUAACUUUUCUGAAGUAGCGCAAUUUUUUUUUCUAACAGGAAGUAUCGGCUUCUGUUUCAAGACUCUCAAGGGAUACAUCUGGACAGUACAGUGACUUCCAUAUUCUCUCUUCUUUAAAUUCUCAGGUCAGGAGGCAAACAUGAUACUAUAGUUAUUUUUUUCUUUUGGGUCAUAAUGUUUCUUUUUUGCUGUUUUUCAUCUCUUAACUAUAUUUUGCAUUCGUUGAAUGCCAUUUUGUUUCUUUUUGGAUGUAGUUGUUUGAAAGUUCAGCCUUGAUGAAUGUAGCUGCAGUUAAGUCACUUUUGUCUGCAUUGCAUCAAUUGUCAAGUCAGCACAUAUCAGGAAAUUCUCAAUUAUCAGGCCAGCAGAUUGGGAGCAUUGCAUUUUCAGUGGAGCGCAUGACAUCGAUACUUGUCAAUAAUCUGCAUCGUGGGUGCUUUCCUUCUUGAAGCAUGGAUAUGUUCUUUUCAGACAAACUGCCUAUUUAAAUCAGUGAUGAUCUUAAUGUUUUGUGCUAGAAGUACUCAAAUAGAUAUACUCCCUCCAUUCCAAAAUAUAAGGUGUAUUAGUUUUUUCAAAAGUCAAAUAUGUGUAUGUUUGACCAAGUUUUUAGGAAAAUAUAUCAACAUCUACAUUACCAAAUUUGUAUCAUUAAAUCCAUCACUAAAAGUAUUUUCAUAUUUUAUUUAUUUUGUAUUGUAUAUGUUGAUAUUUUAUUCUAUAAUCUUGGUCAAACACACACAAGUUUGACUACACAAAAAUCGAUACACCUUAUAUUCUGGAACAGAAGGAGUAUUUGGUAAAACUAAAUAAUAAUUUGUGAUGGAUCAAGUAUAGACACAGGAAGAUUCAUUUGCAUAAUAAAACAGCAAUGUUUUCUAUUUUCUGUUCUAAUUUCACACGAUGAACAUAAUUUGCAACUGGUGUCAUUUUUGUAGUACUCCCUUCGUCCCAAAAUUCUUGUCUUAGAUUCGUCUAGAUAUGGAUGUAUCUAAUACUAAAACGUGACUUGAUACAUCCGUAUUUAGACAAAUCUAAGACAAGAAUUUUGGGACGGAGGGAGUAUGUGUGAACACUCGUCUUGCAGGUCCGUAGUAGGCUAUUGGGUAUUAAAUUUAUAUCAUCACAUUAAAUUAUUAUCCUUGUUUUGUGAGCGAGCAUGUUCUGACAUGAAAUAUGGCAUAACAAUUUACCAGUGCGUGAAAUGAUUAUGUGAAACAAUGAGCUUUGAAUUAUAGAUGUGAGAGCUUUGUAAGGGCUUAACAACAAUGCACUGAACUUAAUCUUAAACUUUAACUCGAUAGUUACAACUGAAUGUGCAGUAUAGUUAGGAUAUAAAGGUUAUUGAUUCCAUAGUACUGUGUCUUCAUUGUUUCUUACAUUUGCUUGUUUCAUCAUGUUACAGGAGUUGAAUCAAUAUGGGAUCAAAUUGCUGCGCACCAUCUUGAGGUAGCAGUGCAUAUUUUUGUAUUGACUGUUAGCUUUAUUAUUGUCAUUUGUAAUGCCAUGAUGAUCUUGAUGAUGGUAACAAAUUGCAGCUUGCCAAUUGCCCCAACCCACAAUUACGUAAUAUGGCGCUUGAUUCAUUAGAUCAUUCAAUUUGCUCUGUAGUGGGUUCUGAAAAGUUUCAGGGAAUCAGUUCAGCACCUCAUCCUUUGAAAGAGUACCAAGUAAGAGCGCAAAAACUUACCUUAUUCAUCUUCUGUGAUUUUUUCUGACAAUUUGAAUUCGGUGCUUGCUAGUUGGUUGAAGAAAGUGAAACACGAUCAUUUGAGUAUGCAGUUUUAUCUCCAUUGGUGAUCCUUUAUUCGUCUAACAAGAAUAUUGAUGUUCAAAUGGGUGCACUGAAAAUUCUUUUGCAUGUUCUUGAGGUACUUACUUUGUUCUGUAUGUCUUCCAUUUGGUACAUCAUACAAUAUACUUCUUACUCGUACUGUUUCAGAGACAUGGAGAAAAGCUGUCCUAUAGCUGGCCCAGCAUUCUUCAUAUGUUGAGGUGUUACUGCAGUUCAUGCUUGAUUUGUUUUGUAUUUUGUAUUUGUUACCUGUAGUUCCUUACGUCCAUUUUUUCUAGGGCUGUUGCCGAUGCAUCUGAAAAAGAUGUCAUCUCCUUAGGUUUCCAGGUAAAUUCCUAACCAGUCUUUAUGUUUGGCUUGACAUGGUAGUUUAAUCGAAAGUUUGUAGCUCACUUCGGAGCCUGUACUAUUGACCUUUAACACCAGGUUAUGGAUAUGGAAUGGGACCGUAAUGUUCACUUCUAAAAUGGAGAACGAGUCAACAAAAAAAAAAAAGUUUUUUAGUUAUGCCAAUAAUCAGUUUGGUAGUCUCAACAGUCACUUUUUUUACAGAGUGUACGUGUGAUCAUGAAUGAAGGACUGGCGACAAUACCUGUACAAUGUCUUGAUGAGUAAGUUUUGAAUUCGCUGUGCUACCAGAAACUACAAGAUCUCCAUUAUUAUGUAUAAGAAAAAUCUCCUAAGGGCCUGUUUGGAUGGGUGCCCACGGCUGCCCUGCCAAUUUUUUGGCGUUGACCAAUGGGGUGGGCACGCGUUUGGAUCACAGCCAAAAUUUUGGAUCCUAACCAACUUUUUGGUCACCUGCGCGAUCUGCACCUGAUUCCACGCCCGCGUGGUGGUGAAAUCCUGGUGGCAAAUUUGCUCGCCAAAAAAUUGGCACGCCAUCAUUUUGGUAGGGCUCCUAUGGGCACCAACCAAACAGGCCCUAAGUCAUUCACAGAAGUUACAAACAAUAAAUGCACUAAGUCAAUAAUCCUUGUUUUUUACCAGGAGAUUUAUUACAUACAAAAUUUAUGAUGCCUGAGCUGUAAAGUUAAUGAUGCUCAUAAAGUUGGGCAUGGACAUGCAAAGUUCAUGAGUUGUUUAUAAUAUCUGCUUCAGUGUUUUCUGAUUCUUUUGUGCCAACAAAUGCAGGUGCAUUUUGGUUACUGGGGCGUAUGGUGCCCAGAAAACUGACAUAAACAUAAGUUUGACAGCAGCUGGUCUUUUGUGGACUGCGACCGAUUUUAUUGUGAAGGGGUUAAGUGGCAGGUCUGUUCAGAAAGCUAAUCACUUGAAUGAAGGUACAUGGGCACGCACUUCAGAUAACAUUGCCAUUGCUUUUGAUUUUCUAUACUUCAUACAUGCUCUCUUUUGGAUUGCAGAGGUUCAGUUGGGUGUAUCAACGGAAGAGGGAGAUAUACCAACCAGUGAGGAAGGCGUCAAGCGAAAUCCCUUGCAACAACUGGUUGAUUACAAUAAGCUGUUCUUUUCAGUUUUUUCCGUCCUUCAAAAAUUGGGUGCAGAUGACCGUCCGGAGGUAUGUCUUUUCAACAUGCCAUUCGUUCUGUGUAUGGCCAUUCAUGAUUUGCUUAACAUCUUCUGAGUAGCUUAUUGGUGAUUCCGUGGCACAAUUGAUAAUUCUUUGACAUGUACAGCCCAGCAUAAUUUAUACUUUUUUUAUUCCAAGGUUCGGAAUUCAGCAGUUCGGACUCUGUUUCAAACUCUCUGCACCCAUGGUCAAAAACUUUCUCUAAGUAUGUGGGAGGAUUGCCUGUGGAUAUAUGUUUUCCCAAUGCUAGAACAUGUUUCCCACUUGGUAAGUAAUGUAGCAAUUGGUUAGCAUAUUUUGAUCUUUCCCUUGAAUCUUCUUCACUUAUAAUUAGCCCCUAAUCUUUAUAUUAUUUUUCAGGCAUCUACCUCGUCUAAAGAUGAAUGGCAUGGGAAGGAAUUAGGAACUCGUGCAGGGAAAGCUGUUCAUAUGCUUAUCCAUCACAGGUUUUCAGUCUAUGAAAGCACUGUAAUCAGAUUAUAUUUGUUCGAUAUGAUUUUUUUUUGUUUAAAGUAAAAAAGCCACCUCUGUUAUUUGGUUAACUCCAUUAUCUUCGGGUCGCCCCACAAAUUGGAAGUUACGUUGAUCAUUAAACCUACUUCCAUCUUAAUCCUGUAGGCUAACUUGUUUUGAUUUUAGCGCAUGUGCACGUCCGCUCAUUGUAGGAAAAUAUUGACGUUUCGACAACCCAAAAAGACAAAAAAAAAACACUUCGUGCACACACGUUCAUGUACUCUGAUUAACUACGCCCACCUUGUUUAUCUUAAGAACUGAACCUGGAUGGAUGUGAAUUAAUACCGUUGCUCUCACCACUAAGCCACAUGCCCAUUCGUGUUUAGUCUUACUCAUUCUGGCAUCAAACAUCGUCGAGUUCCUUGUGAGCUUUUAUGUUUCUUGGUAAUUUCCCUUGUUCUACCCUUUUAUUUAUCUGAUGGAUUGUUCUUUUGCUUAUCCAGUCGAAAUACAGCGCAAAAACAAUGGGAUGAAACUAUUGUUCUUUUAUUAGGUGGUAUAGCACGGCUUUUACGAUCAUUUUUCCCCCUCCUCCAGCAAUUGAGCAAAUUUUCUUCCGGUCAGUUUUCUGCAGUGGCCAUUAUGCUUAUGUUGCAUACCAGUUAGUAAAUUACCAGUAACUGUUAUUGACAUACUGUGCUUAAAAUUGUGCAGGUUGGGCAAUUUUGCUUGCGUUUCUAAAAAAUAGCAUCUUAAAUGGUAGCAAGGAGGUAGCUCUUGCAGCUAUUAAUUGUUUGCAGACAUUUGUUAGUUCAAACUGUCCGAAGGUUCUCUCUCUCUCUCUCUCUCUCUCUCUCUCUCAGAUAGCUUAGUACAGUUUGUAAGCUAAAUUGAAUUGUUGGGCUUUCAUUAUUUGCCUGUUCAAAUUAUUUGUGAUGGUGAAAGCUUAAUGUUGUAUUUUUCUUUAUGGGAACAACCGAGUGUGCUACCUACUGUUCUCAUGAUUUGUCACUGUUAUGCCAUGACCUCGCCUUUGCUACCCCCUUACCCCCUCUAAAUUUAUACAGAGUUUUAAACAUGUCCUCGCAUUUGUUAUCUCCUUACCCCCUAUAAAUUUAUAGUUCUAUACAUGGUAUCGUAUAUGUCAUCUCAUGAUAUAAUAGGAAAUAUAGCUGUCAAAUUAAUGAAAGCACUAACAAAAGAUGAUUCGAGUCUGUAUUGUCGAUAAUAAUUUUGUUCAUGAAGCAAAUAAAUCUGUUAUUUCUGGACCAGUGACUGGAUAAAUGGAGUAAUUGACAUUUUAGAUAGGUUAUGUAAUUGUGGACGUGUUUGCCAUCUUGGCAAUGGAAGCUGUGAGCGGAAUGUAAUCACCUGAUGACUGCUAUUACGACUUAUGACUGCACCGGCUGUUUAUGUUUUUUGUUGCAUCUGAAAGAAACAAAUCAGAUGUUUUCACAGCUAUGCGGGGGCAGUGUAACUUUAAGGAGCCUACUUGUUCUUCAAAGAUUUAAUAUUUUCUCCGCACUUCCCUAUUAAAGGACUUGAUUUACACUUUCACAGUGGUAUAAAUGGCAUGUCUUGGACUUGUCACCUUCUUUUAUUUUUUCUGCUAAAAACAAGAGUACAUGUUUUUUAAAUCAUCACAUAUACAUGUUUGAUGUAUAAUUAAUAAAAAUUUCAGGGCAAUCUAGAAUCCUCCUUUGUCAAAUCCGUUCUUGAUAUUUACGAACUUGUUCUUCAAACUUCACCAAACUAUAAGAGUGACUCGGCUGAUAAGGUGAAGCAAGAGGUCCUUCGUGGUCUUGGUAAAUUUCUGGACUUCGUAGUUUGUGUUGAUAAGUUCCAUGUGUUGUAAUGAGCUACUAAUCAUGUUGCAUUUAUGCAGGAGAUCUUUACGUUCAAGCGCAAUCUCUAUUUAAUGAUGACAUGUAUCUAAGGCUCAUGGCUGUUAUGCAUCUAAUGAUUAAGAGUUCCAUGAAUUCUUCAGAUUAUGACAGUGAAUUGGUAUGCUCGUGAACUCCAAUUUUAUUAGUAUUGUUUGCUACACUGUGGAGUUCAACGUAGAAUUCUGGAAAUGUCCUGUGUAAACUGUUAAGUAUGUGGAUAUUUUCCCUGGUUAGCCAUGCACGGUGGGGAGCGGGUUAUGUUUGCGUUUUUAGAAAGGUAAUGUGGGCAUGAUGAGUAGGACUUACACAACCAUUCGGAACUGGCUGUUUCCCACUGUUUGAGGUCCAACCAGCCUGGGAUUGGAAUGUUUAGUGGUGUGUUACUGCCGUCUGCAAGUUGCUCGGCUUACAACCAUUUUUGACCAGUUCCAAAUGUUUUGACUGGGAACAACUAGUUUAAUAUUCCCUUUCCGAAACUAACAGUGGCCCACAACAAACCUUUCUCUUGUUUUUAUACCCUGGGUAGGAUAAUACACCAUGAAAGAAGCUUUAGUCUCUGUUUUGUCUUUUAGAUAGUCCCAGAAGGUGCCUUUUAUUCCAUGGUUCUUUAAUUUUACUCUUCUCAUGCUUGACAGAAAUACAUGCUGUUCUCUUACAAAAAAAAUCUGUGGCACUUAUUUUGUGACAACCACAAAAGGAGCCUUUAAUCUUCAUUUCCCUCAUAUGUACUCUUGGAAUCAUUUUUUCAAUUCCAUGUUCCUACCUUGACAACUUCCAUGCUGUAGAACAGAAUGUAUUGAACUUCAUAACUCACUUAGCCUUUUAUGCUUUAGGGUAGCAUCCCUGCUGUGCAGCGUGGUAUCUUAGAAAUUAUUCCUAUGCUACGCCCAACAACCAUGUUAUCAUCAAUGUGGUCGCCUCUCCUGCUUGAGCUGCUAUGCUAUCUUAACGGAGAAGAAAGCCCCCUGCACAGGAAUAGUAAAGAAAUACGUGAACAGAAUUCUGAUGCACUGGCCAAUGGCACAAAGCGUGCUUCUGGUAAGACAUGUUAUCAUAUCGUACAUACAUGUUUGUGUAAUUUAAGAAAUAUGAUAUCUUGAGCAAUUUGUGUGUAAUUUAUCAUGGCUACAGUUGAACAAGGCCAUAUCAAUGGCACUGGCACAAAAGGGGAUACUGUGGUGGGCUGUGGCUGGGGCAUUCUAUUUAUAGAAAAGCUUGUGCCAAUCAUGGUCAACCUUUUCCUGGAGGCUCCACCAAAUGAAAGGUGUAGUGCCUCACCACAGGUUAUUCAAGGUCUUGGAAGGUAAAUUGCCUUAGCUUUACAGCCUUACAGUCCCUAGCAAAGCUUUGGGGGUAAUAGUUAUGUUGUAAACCUGUGCAUAUGGAGUUCCUUAGCUUUUCAUGUGGUAAACAUAACUUGUGUUGGUUGUAGUUAUAAAGAUACAAUGCAAAAGUAAGAAUAUUUUCCCCAGUGAAGAUCAUGUGCUUACUGCAGAGUGUUCAUACUAAAUACAAAGUCAUGGAAGAUUAAUUUGGAACCAUCUAGAUAAUGAGCCUAUGAAAUUGGAUUGUGAAGCAGCACCGGGUUGUCGAGGAGCAACUUCAACAUGUUGUGCUAGAUGUUGCUCGAGGCAGAGAUAGGCUCAUAUGGCAGCAGGAAUUCAAUCCAGAAACUCCUAGAACGCAAAAUCUAUGCCAAGAUCUUAGAUAAGAACGCCAAGUUCUGUUAGUAGUGGGUACAUAGUCUGAGUUAUAAAACUAGAGGCAAGGACCUCUAUUUAUAGGCUUUGAAGCCUUCACAUCUCAGAUUCUACUCAUCACUAGAAGACUCUAGAAAACAUUACUUAAAGGACAUGUCAGCUUCUACCCAUAGAUAGAAGACUCUAGAGAAGAUUACUUAAAGGUUAAGAAAAUGAAUACAAUAACAUAUGACUUGAGGAUCGAUUUAGAAAUCAAAAUUGUCUUUUUUUUUUCUUUACCUCUCUCCUACUGUCCCUCAUCAGAUUGUUUAUUUACUCCUUACUUACUCUGGAAAUUGUUAACUGAAGCAGCACAAAGUUUGUGGAGGAGCAACUCCACCUUGCUGCUACAAUGUGUACAGCACAAGUGUUGAAGGAACAGCUUCAACGUGGUGCGCUAGAUAUCGCUCUAGAGGCGAAUGUAGGUUGAUAGGGCAGCAAGAGUAAAAUCCAGAACUCCUAGGGCACAAGAUCUACUCCAAGAUCUUAGAUAAGAACAACAAGUUCUAUUAUAGGUAGGGGUACAUAGUCUGCCUCCAAAGUAGAGGCGAGGACCUCUAUUUAUAGGGCUUUGGGAAGCC